UACGGAGGAUGCGAGCGUUAUCCGGAUUUAUUGGGUUUAGAGGGUGCGUAGGCGGGAUGCCAAGUCAGCGGUAAAAAUGCGGUGCUCAACGCCGUCGAGCCGUUGAAACUGGCGUUCUUGAGUGGGCGAGAAGUAUGCGGAAUGCGUGUGUAGCGGUGAAAUGCAUAGAUAUCACGCAGAACUCCGAUUGCGAAGGCAGCAUACCGGCGCCCUACUGACGCUGAGGCACGAAAGCGUGGGUAUCGAACAGG
rnacentral:rRNA from 1 species